rnacentral:tRNA from 1 species
GGGCCGUUAGCUCAGCUGGAUAGAGCAGCCCACUUCUAAUGGGCAGGUCGGGGGUUCGAGUCCUCCACGGCCCGCCA